AACAACUAAUGAUUAUUUACUUUUUUACCUACAUUAUUUGAUGGUUCUGUGAUAAUACAAAAUGUAUGAAGUUCAU